rnacentral:lncRNA from 1 species
UUCUGUGGUGAUUGAUGAUUUAUGUUUUUGCUCCAAGUGCUUAAUAGCCUGUUUUUGCCAAAUAAGUAAAGUGAUAUACAAUGUUAUAAUCGUUAAGUAAUUAGAAUGCACCUCACAAUAGCCAAAAUGUCUCCCUUGGUGUUUACGUUUUUAUUUUCCUGAAAUAAAUAAACCAAAAUUUGGGAAUCACAAUACGUCACUGUGCAUC